UGGGGAAUAUUGGACAAUGGGCGAAAGCCUGAUCCAGCAAUGCCGCGUGUGUGAAGAAGGCCUUCGGGUUGUAAAGCACUUUCAGUGAAGAAGAAGGAAUUGUCGUUAAUAGCGGCGAGGACUGACGUUAUUCACAAAAGAAGCACCGGCUAACUCUGUGCCAGCAGCCGCGGUAAUACAGAGGGUGCAAGCGUUAAUCGGAAUUACUGGGCGUAAAGGGUGCGUAGGUGGUUUGAUAAGUUAGGCGUGAAAGUCCUGGGCUUAACCUGGGGAUUGCGUUUAAUACUGUUAGACUAGAGUAUUGUAGAGGAAAGCGGAAUUUCCGGUGUAGCGGUAGAAUGCGUAGAUAUCGGAAGGAACAUCAGUGGCGAAGGCGGCUUUCUGGACAAAUACUGACACUGAGGCACGAAAGCGUGGGGAGCAAACAGG
rnacentral:rRNA from 1 species